rnacentral:rRNA from 1 species
CGCCUUGCCAGCCCGCUCAGAACUUAAAGGAAGUUGACGGGGCCCGCACAAGCGGUGGAGCAUGUGGUUAAUUCGAUGAUACGCGAGGAACCUUACCUGGGCUCGAACGUAAGAUGACUGUAGGUGAAAGCUUACAUCUCUUCGGAGCAUUUUACGAGGUGCUGCAUGGUUGUCGUCAGCUCGUGCCGUGAGGUGUCGGGUUAAGUCCCAUAACGAGCGCAACCCCUACCUUUAGUUGCCAUCAGGUUAAGCUGGGGACUCUAAAGGAACUGCCUACGCAAGUAGUGAGGAAGGCGGGGAUGACGUCAAAUCAGCACGGCCCUUACGUCCAGGGCUACACACGUGCUACAAUGGCCGAUACAGAGGGCAGCUACCUGGUGACAGGAUGCAAAUCUCCAAAGUCGGUCUCAGUUCGGAUCGGAGUCUGCAACCCGACUCCGUGAAGUUGGAUUCGCUAGUAAUCGCGCAUCAGCCAUGGCGCGGUGAAUACGUUCCCGGGCCUU